UACGGGGGGAGCAAGCGUUGUUCGGAUUUACUGGGCGUAAAGGGCGCGUAGGCGGUCAGCACAAGUCAGUUGUGAAAUCUCCGGGCUUAACUCGGAAAGGUCAGCCGAUACUGCGGGGCUAGAGUGCAGAAGGGGCAACUGGAAUUCUCGGUGUAGCGGUGAAAUGCGUAGAUAUCGAGAGGAACACCUGCGGCGAAGGCGGGUUGCUGGGCUGACACUGACGCUGAUGCGCGAAAGCUAGGGGAGCGAACGGG
rnacentral:rRNA from 1 species